rnacentral:hammerhead_ribozyme from 1 species
AUCCAGCUGACGAGUCCCAAAUUGUACGAAAUGUAAGUCCUGGAU